rnacentral:sRNA from 1 species
GCUGCUCUUGGCUCGGGGACGCGGGCGGGCGCUCCGAGAGGCUCUGGUGCCUGCGGCUGCUGCUCUCCUCCGGCGCCCGGGGCUGCGGCGCUCCGGGUCCCGGCCCCUGUCCCGGCAUCUCUCGGGUCCCUGAGCCCCGGCCCCGGGUCCCGCGUCCGGCCGGAGAGAACGCACUCAGCUGCUCGAGCCGCCCCGGGCUCGCGCCCCCGGGCCAUGAAGAGGGGCCCGUGAGGCGCGCGCGGAGUCGGAGGAAGAGGAGGGAGGAGGGAGGCCGAGGAGGAGGGCGCGGGAGGCGGAGGAUGCCGCCGCGGCUGCUGCCGCCGCCGCCACCCGCGGGCCCCCGGCGACCCUGACUCCAGACCCGAGGAUGGAGCCGGCGCUGGGCGCUGCAGCUGCUCCCGGCGCGCCCCCGACCAGGUAGCUGGUGUCACUUCGGUGUGGUUGGAAGAAGACUUUCUCCCCAGCUGCAUUCCCGGAGGCGCCCUUUCGACCUGGAGGCCGGGUCUGCUGGCCACAGGGCUGCCGCACUGGCUGGGACUGCCAGCUGGGCCUGGAGACGCUGGUGGCUGUGGACUCCCCAGCUUGGAGCAGUCCCUCUUUGGUAAGUGGUUCAGCCCUCCUGUGUUCUCCCCAGGAGCAGCCCCAGCCCCCACUCAGGUCUGGUAGCUGAGCCAGCCUCCAGAGAGGGUGCCUACAGGAUGCUCAGGUGGGCUCCUGGCCCCGGACUCUCAGAAGCCCCAUUCGCUCUUUCUGCUUCUCCAUGGUCCCUCCCCAGUCCCCCGUCUGUGGGCAGAGGGGACACAGGAGGUAAGAGUGGAGGCCCCUGACUCCCUAAGAUCUUCUUUGCAGGCCAGUUCACUCUGUGUCAGUGGGGAUUAUGUCACCUCCAUGGCCUGGACCCUUGUCCCUAGAGACCAGGAACAGACCCUGGGUGCUGGGAAGGGUUGCCUCUCAGCAGACCCUGGACAUCUGUCUCUGCUCCAGAGACUCUUAGAGACUCCACGAGCCCCAGAAGUCUACAUCUGGAGUAAGUGGUCACCUGCAUCCAUGAGUUGGAAGGGGCUUGACACAGUGGUCCACCUUGCCUGGCCGUGCUGGCAGCUCACCGACCAUGGUCUGCAGGGGUCCUUCGUGCUCAGGGGAUUGGGGUCAGAUGGAGGCAUCUGAUAGGGACUCUUCUUUCCCCUAGGGAUGGGCAGAGGACAGAGGAAAGAGGACCACCUGGAGAACUGGGCGCCAGUUCGUGGGGGUGGGAGACGCUGGCAGUGAGGAGGGGCAGUGUUUGAGGCAGGCCCUUGUCAUUUCCUCAGUGCGGGAGUAGGGGGAGUCAGGCUCUUGCCCCGUGAGGCCCCUCUAAGGAA